rnacentral:rRNA from 1 species
GACGAACCGGGCGAACGUUGUUCGGAAUCACUGGGCUUAAAGGGCGCGUAGGCGGGCGUGCAAGUCUGUGGUGAAAGCCCCCAGCUCAACUGGGGAAGUGCCGUGGAUACUGCACAUCUUGAGGAGGGUAGGGGCAUCUGGAACGGUCGGUGGAGCGGUGAAACGCGUUGAUAUCGACCGGAACUCCGGUGGCGAAGGCGAGGUGCUGGACCGUUUCUGACGCUGAGGCGCGAAAGCCAGGGGAGCAAACGGG